rnacentral:tRNA from 1 species
GCCUAGAUGGCUCAGUCAGUAGAGCAUGCGACUCUUAAUCUCAGGGUCUUGAGUUCAAGCCUUACAUUGGACA